UUUACUUCGGGAACUGAAACGCACUUACAGUACCUACAAAUAUCCAAAAUAACCCAAAAAUCAGACCCAGGGCCUACUUGACCAAUUUCAGAAAUCCGGCACGGCGGCUCCGCUGUGCUCCGACGACGGCAUCACCGCUUACAGUGGCGAUCCACCUCAGGUUGGCUGUUUUCGGUUGUUUUCGACCGAAUUCAGCCAAACUUGCAUCAGUUCCUGUAAGAAAACACACUUAGGGCCCUCGGUUGGCCGAAAUAAUGUAGAAAACUGAAACUUACCGGCGGCGGAGCUCUCUGGUGCGGCGGCUCCUCCGGCUCACGUUGCGGUUGGCUGUUUUGCUCCGAUCAACCUGUAGAGAAGGAAACGGUGAUCACAACAGU
rnacentral:lncRNA from 1 species